rnacentral:rRNA from 1 species
GAGACUCUGUGCGCGUGCAUAUCAAUAAGCGGAGGAAAAGAAACUAACAAGGAUUCCCUUAGUAACGGCGAGUGAAGCGGGAAGAGCUCAAAUUUGAAAUCUUCAAGGUUCUACCUUGACGAAUUGUAGUUUAUAGAAGUGUUUUCUGUUAGUGGAGUGGCAAAAGUUCUUUGGAAUAGGACAUCAUAGAGGGUGAGAAUCCCGUAUUUGGUCAUUCCUCCUAGCGUUGUGAUACACUUUCAACGAGUCGGAUUGUUUGGGAAUGCAGUCCAAAAUGGGUGGUAAAUUUCAUCUAAAGCUAAAUAUUGGCGAGAGACCGAUAGCGAACAAGUACCGUGAGGGAAAGAUGAAAAGAACUUUGAAAAGAGAGUUAAACAGUACGUGAAAUUGUCAAAAGGGAAGCGUUUGACACCAGUGUUGUUUUUCCGAAAAUCAAUUACGAAUGUUUUGUUUUUGAGGAGUUAUGACUUCAUCGGCUUGCUCCUUUCUUUAUGAAACUUUCUUAAUGCACUUUUCGGUUAACAAGUCAACAUCAAUUUCUUUUGUUGUAAAAGGGUAUGAGGAAGGUGGCUUUCUUUUCGGAGAAAGUGUUUAUAGCCUUGUGCCUCUGCAAUCGGAGAGAUUGAGGUCUGCAGCGUAGAUCCUUCGGGGUUAGAUACGUUUGUGCUAAGUUAUAGCUUUUCAUAGACAACUUGUUGACUAUGUUUAGUCUUGUAGCUUACUCGCUUACUGCUAUUUUACCUACGCUUAGGAUGUUGAACUCUAUCACACACAG